rnacentral:rRNA from 1 species
AACGAACGCUGGCGGCAGGCUUAACACAUGCAAGUCGAGCGCCCCGCAAGGGGAGCGGCAGACGGGUGAGUAACACGUGGGAACAUACCCAUCUCUGCGGAACAACUCCGGGAAACUGGAGCUAAUACCGCAUACGCCCUUUGGGGGAAAGAUUUAUCGGAGAUGGAUUGGCCCGCGUUGGAUUAGCUAGUUGGUGGGGUAAAGGCCUACCAAGGCGACGAUCCAUAGCUGGUCUGAGAGGAUGAUCAGCCACAUUGGGACUGAGACACGGCCCAAACUCCUACGGGAGACAGCAGUGGGGAAUAUUGGACAAUGGGCGCAAGCCUGAUCCAGCCAUGCCGCGUGAGUGAUGAAGGCCUUAGGGUUGUAAAGCUCUUUCACCGAUGAAGAUAAUGACGGUAGUCGGAGAAGAAGCCCCGGCUAACUUCGUGCCAGCCGCCGCCGUAAAAC